rnacentral:rRNA from 1 species
UGGGGAAUCUUGCGCAAUGGGCGAAAGCCUGACGCAGCGACGCCGCGUGGGUGACGAAGGCCUUCGGGUCGUAAAGCCCUGUGGGGAGGGACGAACAAGCAGCAAUGCCCUGACGGUACCUCCUUAGCAAGCACCGGCCAACUCCGUGCCAGCAGCCGCGGUAAGACGGAGGGUGCAAACGUUGUUCGGAAUUACUGGGCGUAAAGCGCGUGUAGGCGGUGCGGUAUGUCGGAUGUGAAAUCCCUCGGCUCAACCGAGCGAACUGCAUUCGAAACUGCCGGACUGGAGUUCGGGAGAGGGAAGUGGAAUUCCCGGUGUAGAGGUGAAAUUCGUAGAUAUCGGGAGGAACACCGGUGGCGAAGGCGGCUUCCUGGACCGAUACUGACGCUGAGACGCGAAAGCGUGGGGAGCAAACAGG